CCUACGGGAGGCAGCAGUGGGGAAUAUUGCGCAAUGGGCGAAAGCCUGACGCAGCGACGCCGCGUGAGGGAUGAAGGUCUUCGGAUCGUAAACCUCUGUCAGCAGGGAAGAACGGUCACUGUGCUAAUCAGCAGUGAAUUGACGGUACCUGCAAAGGAAGCACCGGCUAACUCCGUGCCAGCAGCCGCGGUAAUACGGAGGGUGCGAGCGUUAAUCGGAAUUACUGGGCGUAAAGCGCUCGUAGGCGGUAUGUCAAGUCAAGGGUGAAAUCCCCGCGCUCAACGUGGGAACUGCAUUUGAAACUGGCAAACUGGAGUGUGUGAGAGGAUAGUGGAAUUCCAGGUGUAGGAGUGAAAUGCGUAGAUAUCUGGAGGAACAUCAGUGGCGAAGGCGACUAUCUGGCACAUAACUGACGCUGAGGAGCGAAAGCGUGGGUAGCAAACAGGAUUAGAUACCCGAGUAGUC
rnacentral:rRNA from 1 species